rnacentral:rRNA from 1 species
UAGGGAAUCUUCCGCAAUGGGCGAAAGCCUGACGGAGCAACGCCGCGUGAGUGAUGAAGGUCUUCGGAUCGUAAAACUCUGUUAUUAGGGAAGAACAAAUGUGUAAGUAACUAUGCACGUCUUGACGGUACCUAAUCAGAAAGCCACGGCUAACUACGUGCCAGCAGCCGCGGUAAUACGUAGGUGGCAAGCGUUAUCCGGAAUUAUUGGGCGUAAAGCGCGCGUAGGCGGUUUUUUAAGUCUGAUGUGAAAGCCCACGGGUCAACCGUGGAGGGUCACUGGAAAGUGGAAAGCUUGAGUGCAGGAGAGGAAAGUGGAAUUCAAUGUGUAGCGGUGAAAUGCGCAGAGAUAUGGAGGAAAAACAGUGGCGAAGGCGACUUUCUGGUAUGUAACUGACGCUGAUGUGCGAAAGCGUGGGGAUCAAACAGG